GACGAACGCUGGCGGCGUGCUUAACACAUGCAAGUCGAACGGAAAGGCCCUGCUUUUGUGGGGUGCUCGAGUGGCGAACGGGUGAGUAACACGUGAGUAACCUGCCCUUGACUUUGGGAUAACUUCAGGAAACUGGGGCUAAUACCGGAUAGGAGCUCCUGCUGCAUGGUGGGGGUUGGAGAGUUUCGGCGGUUGGGGAUGGACUCGCGGCUUAUCAGCUUGUUGGUGGGGUAGUGGCUUACCAAGGCUUUGACGGGUAGCCGGCCUGGGAGGGUUACCGGCCACAUUGGGACUGCGAUACGGCCCAGUCUCCUACGGGAGGCAGCGGUGGGGAAUAUUGCACAAUGGGCGGAAGCCUGAUGCAGCAACGCCGCGUGCGGGAUGACGGCCUUCGGGUUGUAAACCGCUGUCGCCUGUGACGAAGCGUGAGUGACGGUAAUGGGUAAAGAAGCACCGGCUAACUACGUG
rnacentral:rRNA from 1 species